rnacentral:rRNA from 1 species
CGUGGGUAACCUGCCUUAUAGUGGGGGAUAGCCUUUCGAAAGGAAGAUUAAUACCGCAUAAGAUUGUAGUAUCGCAUGAUAUAGCAAUUAAAGGAGCAAUUCGCUAUAAGAUGGACCCGCGUCGCAUUAGCUAGUUGGUGAGGUAAUGGCUCACCAAGGCGACGAUGCGUAGCCGACCUGAGAGGGUGAUCGGCCACAUUGGGACUGAGACACGGCCAGACUCCUACGGGAGGCAGCAUG